AUUGAACGCUGGCGGCAUGCCUUACACAUGCAAGUCGAACGGUAACGCGGGGCAACCUGGCGACGAGUGGCGAACGGGUGAGUAAUGCAUCGGAACGUGCCCAGUAGUGGGGGAUAGCCCGGCGAAAGCCGGAUUAAUACCGCAUACGACCUACGGGUGAAAGCGGGGGACCGUAAGGCCUCGCGCUAUUGGAGCGGCCGAUGUCAGAUUAGGUAGUUGGUGGGGUAAAGGCCUACCAAGCCGACGAUCUGUAGCUGGUCUUAGAGGACGACCAGCCACACUGGGACUGAGACACGGCCCAGACUCCUACGGGAGUCAGCAGUGGGGAAUUUUGGACAAUGGGCGCAAGCCUGAUCCAGCCAUGCCGCGUGCGGGAAGAAGGCCUUCGGGUUGUAAACCGCUUUUGUCAGGGAAGAAACGCUCCGAGCUAAUACCUCGGGGUAAUGACGGUACCUGAAGAAUAAGCACCGGCUAACUACGUGCCAGCCGCCGCGGUAAUAC
rnacentral:rRNA from 1 species